rnacentral:rRNA from 1 species
GGAUGUGCAAAGUUGAACUAUGGCAUUAUUACCUUAUUGCCCAAGUCAACUGAUGCUAGUAGAAUACAACAAUACAGACCAAUCUGUUUAUUGCGUUGUCCGUACAAACUUAUUACUAAGGUCAUGGACCUUAGAGUUGGUAAAUCUGUGCAUAAACUGUUCAGUAUACAGCAAAAUGCCUUUAUCAAAGGGAGGCAUAUAGUAGAUGGCAUUUUAUCCCUUCAUGAGAUUAUACACUACACCCAUGUCAAAAAACAAAAAGGGGUGGUUCUCAAGCUUGAUUUUGAGAAAGCUUAUGACAAAGUCAAUUGGGACUUUUUGCUAGAAUGCCAUGUUAAACGUGGUUUUAAUCAAAGAUGGUGCAGAUGGGUAAAUCAGAUCCCUAGGAAUGGGAUGGUUAGUGUUAAGAUCAAUGAUGAGCUAGGACCGUAUAUAUAG